GAUCCCCCGGUCUGCAGUGUGCUGGCGGGAUGUGAUUGAAAAUGAUUGAUGCAGACAGAAUGGAGAGAAUCCCAGACUGUCACAAGAUAAAUGAGUUGAGUGUGCGGGAGGUGAACCACAGCUGACUCUGCAGAGGUGGAAUCAAAGAGCCCAUCCCUCCCCCCCGGGUUAUCGGUGGCCAGCCAGUAUGUACGGUGAGACGCCUCCUGAAGGUUCGACCACAGGGCAGGGGUUUCCAGUACCCGGUUGAUUGGGAGGGUUAUGGCCCGGAGGAGAGGUGCUGGGUCCCGGCUAAAGACAUCUUGGACCCGGUCCUCAUUGCCGAUUUCCACCACGGACACCCCGGUCAGCCAGAUAUGCACCCAGGCAGGACGCCAAGUGGCGUCGCUGGGGGAGGGGAGGGGGGUACUGUCAUGUCCUGAUCUGUUUCACCUGUUGCUGUAAUUGUCUCCACCCCCUCCAGGUGUCGCUUAUUUUCCCCAGUGUAUUUAUCCCUGUAUUUCCUGUCUCUCGUUGCCAGUUUGUUUUGUAUGUUUAGUCAAGUCAACCAGCAUGUUUUUCCUGCACUUAUUUUUGCUAUUCUCCUUUUUCUAGUCCUCCCGGUUUUGACCCUUGCCUGUUUCUGGAAUCUGUACCCACCUGCCUGACCAUUCUGCCUGCCUUGACCACGAGCCUGUCUGCCACUCUGUAUCUCCUGGACUCUGAUCUGGUUUCGACCUUUUGCCUGUCCACGUCUAUUCUCUUGCCUACCCUUUUUGAUGAUUAAACAUUGUAAGACUCCUACCAUCUGCCUCCUGUGUCUGCAUCUGGGUCUCGCCUUGAUAGAUUUCACUACCUUAAGCCGCCUCCAGUGUCGUUUUUGAGAUUUUGGCAGUAUGUCCAACCGGCCUCACAACUGCAGACAAUAUGUAUGGCGUCGUGUGGGUGCGCAUUAGCCCAUUUUAUUGUUGUUGUAUCUGUGACCAACAGAUGCAUGUCUGUAUUCCCAUCGAUUAGGGCUUAAUGCAUUUAUUUCAAUUGACUGAUUUGUCACGCCUUGGUCAUAAUGUUUUGUGUUUUUCGUUAUAUAUUUUGGUCAGGCCAGGGUGUGACAUGGGUUAUGUGUUGUGUUCAUAUUGGGGUUUUAUAGUAUUGGGAUUUUGAAUGAUUAGGGGUGUGUCUAGUUAGGCUUGGCUGCCUGAGGCGGUUCUCAAUCAUUCGUUUGUUAUUUGGUAUCAGUUAUUUCAUGUAUCGCGAUCCUUCAUUAAAGAUCAUGAGUAACCACCA